UUUUAAUCAGAGAGCUACAUGAACUUGGGUUGGGUCUGCAUAAACAUAUGGUUCAAUCAGGAGCGUUGUGGCCUAGCUCUCUCACUCUUAUUUCACCAGUCGCAGAGAAAAAAAGAGAAGGAAAAAUGACCUGCUUGAUCGUUCUUUCCCCUCACUAGAUUGAUCACGGUACCCCUAAGUCGACGACAUGCAUCUCAAGGUCGGAUGCGCCCCUCUUUCCCCUCGCUCAGAUCAGCCAUUUCACGCCUCUUUCCCAUAUCUCUCAACUCCCUCUAACCCUAGCAGUAAUGGCGGCAUAGUGGUGGCGUCGUGGCAGCAUAAAUAUUGACGGUAUUGUUAUGGUGCUGCUCUCUCUUCUCAUUCUCCUUUAAUUUUUUUAUUAUUUUCCAAUUGAAGGUUUUAAUUUCCUCCCUUGUUAAUUUCUCCUAAAACUUGGGUUUUAAUUUUUCCUGCAAAUUUUUGUUAUUUAGAGUCGAUUUUUGUUGCAAUUCGAAUGAUUGUAUUGUUAAUUUGUUAAUUAUUUCAAUCAUUACAUAUAUAAUUUCAAAAUGUUGUGGAGAUCUGUGCUACUUUUGUGAUUUCUGGAAUACUUUUUCUCUGUUUUUGUGAGAAAGUUUUAUUCAUUUUAAGUGCUGUAUUUUUUGUGUUAUUGGACUGAGAUUGUAGAAAUAAUAUAGUUUGACAACAAAAUACUAAUAAAAAGUAAUUAGGAAACUAAACAUGAAAAAGGUAUAUAUAUAUAUAUAUAUAUAUAUAUAUAUAUAUAUAUAUAUAUAUAUAUAUAUAUAUAUUCGUGUAACCUUUUUUUAUUGUGUUUGUUUUCAUGUUGAUAGCCUCAAAGGAAAUAGUUUUGGGGAAUCAAGGAAUGACUCUCCUUUAAUAGAGGUAUUGUGCAUCUAUUAUAGCCAAUUGUGUUUGAACUAUUUAAAUAAUGAUGGAGGACAAUGUUUUUAUUCGCUAUUUAUUAUGACAGUCUCAAUCCAUGCAUAUAUUCAUUCAAGUACAAUGCUAAGAAUCCCAGAAGAUUGAUUUUUAUAAAAUCUAUCAUAGCAUAAAACAACAUUUUAAUUCGACAUGUGAAAAUAAAAAUAAAACAUAACAACAGGAUGUGAGUGGAAAAUUUGAAGUUUGGAUAUAUAGGACAUAACUAUCAAGUCAUCGUGUAGAAUUCAUCAGGAUCUCUGAGCUUGGGGAUCAAACAAUUGGCCGACUGUAACCAUGUGCAGUGAAUCUUGAAGUGGAGGUUUUUUCUUUGUUAGCUGCACAGAAACUUGUUUCAUGUUAGGCCUACAUUCUGGACUUUGAUGUAAACAAGCAAAUGCGAGCCUCGCAACAAAAACCAUUUCCUCGGCUACUUCAUUAGUAGGGGGCGAGAGGCGUUGGUCCAACAAGUCUAUCAAUAGUACACCGCAAGCAGAUGAUGAUGAGAGAUAUGUGAUGUCAUCCCUCGGAUGCCUCCCCAUAAUCACUUCUAGUAACAACACACCAAAGCUGUAGACGUCGUUUUUCUCGUUUACUUCCAUUGAUAAGGCUAAUUCUGCAAUAAUUAAAGAAC
rnacentral:lncRNA from 1 species